GCUCUGUUGGCGCAGCUGGCAGCGCGUAGGUCUCAUAAUCCUGAGGUCGUGAGUUCGAACCUCACACAGAGCA